CAGGACGAACGCUGGCGGCGUGCCUAACACAUGCAAGUCGAGCGAGGAGAUCCUCGGGAUGAUCCUAGCGGCGGACGGGUGAGUAACACGUGGGCAACCUGCCUCAUAGAGAGGAAUAGCCUUCCGAAAGGGAGAUUAAUACCUCAUAACAUUGCAGUUUCGCAUGAAACAGCAAUUAAAGGAGCAAUCCGCUAUGAGAUGGGCCCGCGGCGCAUUAGCUAGUUGGUGAGGUAACGGCUCACCAAGGCGACGAUGCGUAGCCGACCUGAGAGGGUGAUCGGCCACAUUGGGACUGAGACACGGCCCAGACUCCUACGGGAGGCAGCAGUGGGGAAUAUUGCACAAUGGGGGAAACCCUGAUGCAAGCAACGCCGCGUGAGUGAUGACGGCCUUCGGGUUGUAAAGCUCUGUCUUCAGGGACGAUAAUGACGGUACCUGAGGAGGAAGCCACGGCUAACUACGUGCCAGCCGCAGC
rnacentral:rRNA from 1 species